UAUCUUUGAAGAAUACUUUUUGUCAGAAAGAGUAUUCGGAGAUUUAUUAAAGUUCUGCAUAAGCCAAGGGUCUGACUAGAAUUUGAUUUCGAAUAAAAAAUGCAUGAU
rnacentral:ncRNA from 1 species